CAACUGCAGAUAGUGGUGAAAGGAUCGAAUCCACAGAGAAUUGAGAACCUAUUUAUUUUUCUCAACAAGACCAAGAGAAUUAACUGGAACAAUAAUAAACUAAAAAAAUGAGAUAAAAACUGAAAGUGGGAUCAAAUGAGAUAAACUGAAAGCGGAAUAAAAAUAAAUUGCAGUAAAAGUAAAAUGGGGGGUUUGAGAUUGAUUUGAUUAACAAACUACUGAAAGCAAUUAAAACAAGCUAAUAAUAAAAUAAAAGAAAAAUAAAUAAUAAGAAAGCUCUAGUUGCAGUAUUGGAUCCACUUUAGUUGUUGGGAUUGAUCACAGACACUUUAUUCUUUUGGGUUGACUCAAUAGAUUAGUUAUGGAGAUGGAAGACGCUUCUCACCACCAUUAUCUCUCCUUAU
rnacentral:lncRNA from 1 species